UCCCUCCAGAUUUCUUACUCCGCAGAUUGAAAUAGUGGUCUGAGUGGCUCAAAGAGAAGGAAAAGUAAAACUGAAGUCGAAUGGGGGCCUCCUUGUGACCUCCACGUUCAUUCAAACAUCA
rnacentral:snoRNA from 1 species